UCUUAUUAUCCUUGCUGAGAUAAAUUUUGAUGGAAAUUACACAUUAAGAAUACUUUUAAUACUUAAUUUUUUUUUAUUAAGACAAUACUUUUUAAACAUUUCAAAAGAAACAAAAAUUAAUAUAUGACAUCAUUGGCAUUUUUUCUUUGAAGCGUAAGUUGCAAAAAUACCUAAAUGCCUACCAUUCUUUGCUGACAAGGCCUACAAUUCUCUGGAGGGUAUUGAAUCAGUUCACUUGUAUCCCACCUUGCCCAACUUGAAGCUGCAAUCGAAGUCGAAAAGCAAGUCACGAGGGAUUUGAUUCGUGACAAAAAAAAAAAAAAUAUAUAUAUAUAUAUAUAUAUAAUAAUAAUAAAAGAAGAAAGAGCUUGGUUUGCAUUAAAAUUUUCUCUUUCUGAUUACUUUCAAUUCGCAGACAUGAUCAGAGCCUGGAGGCUGGAGCCACCUUCCUCCUCCUCCUCCUCCUCAAUUCUUUCUACUGCUUCCUUAUUCCUCAAUAGUCUUUUGUAUGCAUUGGCGGACAAAAAACGGUGAAAGACAAUCUAUGCCUUUUGGCUCACAUUAAAAAAAUGCAGAGAAUUAUAAAUGGUGUAGAUGCUUUGUUUUGGUUACGAAAGCAGAGAGGAAAAGAAAAGUCAUGGACAACCUCAUUCGAAGAGAACAAGAAGAGCUCCUGCUCUCCACAUUUUGUAAGCAAUCACUCCAUCAAUACUAAGGACCUCCAGAUAUUUUUUUUGGAGGUUGAAUUGAUUGGAUUUUAAUACUUGAUGUAUAAGUUUUUCAUAUAUUCAUUC